rnacentral:rRNA from 1 species
UCUGACCUCAAAUCAGGUAGGAUUACCCGCUGAACUUAAGCAUAUCAAUAAGCGGAGGAAAAGAAACUAACAAGGAUUCCCUUAGUAACUGCGAGUGAAGUGGGAAAAGCUCAAAUUUAAAAUCUGGCAGUCUGAUUUUAUAUCUUUGGCUGUCCG